CGGGGAAUAUUGCACAAUGGGCGCAAGCCUGAUGCAGCCAUGCCGCGUGUAUGAAGAAGGCCUUCGGGUUGUAAAGUACUUUCAGUCGGGAGGAAGGUGGUAAGGUUAAUAACCUUAUCAAUUGACGUUACCGACAGAAGAAGCACCGGCUAACUCCGUGCCAGCAGCCGCGGUAAUACGGAGGGUGCAAGCGUUAAUCGGAAUUACUGGGCGUAAAGCGCACGCAGGCGGUUGAUUGAGUCAGAUGUGAAAUCCCCGGGCUUAACCCGGGAAUUGCAUCUGAUACUGGUCAGCUAGAGUCUUGUAGAGGGGGGUAGAAUUCCAUGUGUAGCGGUGAAAUGCGUAGAGAUGUGGAGGAAUACCGGUGGCGAAGGCGGCCCCCUGGACAAAGACUGACGCUCAGGUGCGAAAGCGUGGGGAGCAAACAGG
rnacentral:rRNA from 1 species